rnacentral:rRNA from 1 species
AACGAACGCUGGCGGCAUGCCUAACACAUGCAAGUCGAACGAGACCUUCGGGUCUAGUGGCGCACGGGUGCGUCACGCGUGGGAACCUGCCCUUAGGUUCGGAAUAACUCCCCGAAAGGGGUGCUAAUACCGGAUAAUGUCUUCGGACCAAAGAUUUAUCGCCUUUGGAUGGGCCCGCGUUGGAUUAGCUAGUUGGUAGGGUAAAAGCCUACCAAGGCGACGAUCCAUAGCUGGUCUGAGAGGAUGAUCAGCCACACUGGGACUGAGACACGGCCCAGACUCUUACGGGAGGCAGCAGUGGGGAAUAGUGGAAAAUGGGCGAAAGCCUGAUCCAGCAAUGCCGCGUGAGUGAUGAAGGCAUUAGGGUUGUAAAGCUCUUUUAACCGGGAUGAUAAUGACAGUACCGGGAGAAUAAGCUCCGGCUAACUCCGUG